UGGGCCAACUGUGGAAGCUGCUGCAC
rnacentral:piRNA from 1 species